GAUGAACGCUGGCGGCGUGCUUAACACAUGCAAGUCGAACGAAGAUGCCGGAGUGCUUGCACUUUGGCAGACUGAGUGGCGGACGGGUGAGUAACGCGUGGGUAACCUGCCUUAUACAGGGGGAUAACAGUUGGAAACGACUGCUAAUACCGCAUAAGCGCACGGUAUCGCAUGAUACAGUGUGAAAAACUCCGGUGGUAUGAGAUGGACCCGCGUCUGAUUAGCUAGUUGGUGGGGUAACAGCCUACCAAGGCGACGAUCAGUAGCCGACCUGAGAGGGUGACCGGCCACAUUGGGACUGAGACACGGCCCAAACUCCUACGGGAGGCAGCAGUGGGGAAUAUUGCACAAUGGGGGAAACCCUGAUGCAGCGACGCCGCGUGAGCGAAGAAGUAUUUCGGUAUGUAAAGCUCUAUCAGCAGGGAAGAAAAAAUGACGGUACCUGACUAAGAAGCCCCGGCUAACUACGUG
rnacentral:rRNA from 1 species